UCCGUAGGUGAACCUGCGGAAGGAUCAUUACCGAGAGCCCCUCCCCGAUGCAUGCUUGCAUGCGUCGUCGAAGGGGCUAUUCUCACACCCUUCUUUUAUGCGUACCUUUUGUUCUUCCUCGGCGGGUUAACCUGCCGACGGAACACCAUCACAACCCUUUUUUGCAUCUAGCAUUACCUGUUCUGAUACCCUAAAUCAUUACAACUUUCAACAAUGGAUCUCUUGGCUCUGGCAUCGAUGAAGAACGCAGCGAAAUGCGAUAAGUAGUGUGAAUUGCAGAAUUCAGUGAAUCAUCGAAUCUUUGAACGCACAUUGCGCCCCUCGGUAUUCCGUGGGGCAUGCCUGUUCGAGCGUCAUCUACACCUUCAAGCACUGCUUGGUGAUGGGCGUCUGUCCCGCCUCCGCGCGCGGACUCGCCCCAAAUGCAUUGGCAGCGGUCCCGACCGCCUCUCGCGCAGCACAUUUGCGCUUCUCGAGGCGUUGGGGCCUGCAUCCAUCAAGCCCUUCUUAGCACCUUUGACCUCGGAUCAGGUAGGGAUACCCGCUGAACUUAAGCAUAUCAAUAAGGCGGGAGGGGAAGGUCGGACUGGCCAAGGGCACACAGGGGGGGAUA
rnacentral:rRNA from 1 species